AAUGAACGCUGGCGGUAGGCCUAACACAUGCAAGUCGAACGGCAGCACAGUAAGAGCUUGCUCUUACGGGUGGCGAGUGGCGGACGGGUGAGGAAUACAUCGGAAUCUACUUUUUCGUGGGGGAUAACGUAGGGAAACUUACGCUAAUACCGCAUACGACCUACGGGUGAAAGCAGGGGAUCUUCGGACCUUGCGCGAUUGAAUGAGCCGAUGUCGGAUUAGCUAGUUGGCGGGGUAAAGGCCCACCAAGGCGACGAUCCGUAGCUGGUCUGAGAGGAUGAUCCGCCACACUGGAACUGAGACACGGUCCCGACUCCUACGGGAGGCAGCAGUGGGGAAUAUUGGACGAUGGGCGCAAGCCUGAUCCAGCCAUACCGCGUGGGUGAAGAAGGCCUUCGGGUUGUAGAGCCCUUUUGUUGGGAAAGAAAAGCAGCAGGUUAAUACCCCGCUGUUCUGACGGUACCCAAAGAAUAAGCACCGGCUAACUUCGUG
rnacentral:rRNA from 1 species